CUUUUAUUACCUACCUAUAAACCCACAACCCCACCUCUCUAUCCAUUCCUUCUCUCUUUCAAUGUCUGUGUCCGUUUUCAGCAGGCAUUUCUGGGUUUGCUGGUUUAUUUUAAGCUAGCUAGGUAAUCCAGUUGACAAAAUGUCGCAGCACUCUUCGAGAGUCGCACGAGAAAGUGCUCUUGUGAUACAUGCCACUAAAAUCUAUGGGCCCUUAGUAUUUGGAAAAUUGAAAUUGUAGAUUGGCCGCAUUCAUGCUAUUUUCUAUGCUUACAGAGUACCAGGUUGGGUUUUUCUCGGUCUCUCGUGGCUGAUAGUCGCCAUCAGCUUAGCAUUGAGUUUUCAGGAGUUGAGGAUUCACUUACCGAGGUGGAAAGGGUAAGUGCCCGCACGACUUGGUCGAAAUGGGUCUUGACAGUAUAGCUUAGACCAGACCCUGGGGGUAUUUCCUUAUUUUCACACUAUUUCAAUUAUAUAUUAUUAUAAGACUUACGUGAUUAUUCCCUUCCGCUUGAUUGAUUUAUUAUUUAUGUCUUUAUUUCCCUUGGGUUGAGGGUUUGCUUACCGAGGCGGGAAAGGUAAGUGCCCGCAUGACUUAGCCAAAUUGGGUUGUGACAAGUUGGUAUCAGAGCCCUAAGUUAUCCGAUUUCUAAUACAAGAGCGUGUCUAGUAGAGUCUUGUGGAUUGGUACAAUGAACUCCGUACUUAUCUGCGAGAGGCUAUAAGACAUUUAGGAAACUUCAAAUUCUUUCAUUCUCUCUUGCGACUUUAUUCAAAUUGGUAUCUAGUUGAUUCCAAUUGGUAUCUGAACUUUCUUAUCUUAAUCACCCACGAAAGGUGGAUACUCGUCCUUAAAUUGUUAUGCAAAAUUAUUAUGCGAAUUGUUGAUCUAUGACGUGUUGUGGAAUGGUACGAGAUGUGUCAUCCUGAUUCGGAUACGUGAUUCAGUUCAAUCACUAGUUACGGCUUGAGGCUUCGAUUGUGUGGACUCGCGGUUAGACUUGGUUGCUGUGAGGAAUAGCGAAUAGACUCGUUUAUUGUGAAGGUUCGUGAGAAAUGGGAAGAUAGUUUAGAGGGUUACAAUAUCUCCAUGACCAUGUUUCAGUGUUGGGUUGCUCGGAAGUGACAAGUGCAUUUAUGGCUUAACAAUAGUGGGUUGCUCGAUGAUAUGAUUGAUUUGACUUCAGCUUCGUCAGGGCUUUAUAAUGGUGUGCGUGACACUGGUGAACCAAUGGCGAGUCGACGAUUUAGCAAUGGUAGAGUAUUAGACUCCAGUACGUGAGAACAAGUGUAAGUUCGGCGAUGAUUAUCGAAUGUGGGUAAAUGUAUUGUGAUCGCAGGUAAUAAAGGAAAGAAGUUGACAAUAAGGACAUGAAUGAAGCUUUUUUGCAGGUGUGUAGUGAAGUAAGACUUCUUAGAAUAUCUUAGAUAUGAGUACUUUUCGUGUUAUUGGGAAAGGAAAAAUUGGUAUCUGACAUGGUUGUUAGGAUAAGGUUGCAAUUAAUGCGAGGGUGAAUUUCGUGUUCCGUUGCAAAAGGUAAAGGGGGGUUCGGCAUGACAAAACGGUACCAAUGGAGGUGGUUGUCUGAGUUAUGGUUAUUAUAGAGUAUUGAAUCUUGUGGGAAUAAUUAGGCAUGGGUUGGUAACGGUCGUACUUACAGGUUCACAUGAUAUGUCGAAGAUAUGGAACUAAAAGUCAUUCUCGAUAUAAGCUCAUUAAUGUUAAAGGACUAUUUUGUUAGUAAGUGAAUGCUAUGGUCUCAUCGUUGGUCGGUAAAUUUUACUAGGUUGUAGGAUUCUGAGGAGCUAGUAAUCGACUGAUAGAAAUGACUUCAAUUAUGGGCGUAUGUGAUGAGUUAGUGACUUGGGAAGUUACUGGUUGCUACACUUCAAUUUGAGGAGAAGUAUUGAUAUUGUUUGUGGUUCGUUCGGCUCAGAUGGAUGAUUGGUUUAGAGGAUCGAGUGGAUUUGAGUGUUGUUGGUUGAUAGUGAUAGAGUGAUUUGAGAUGGAAUACGGGAACUGAAUGGUUACAAUGAGGCAUCUUGCUAUCGGGUUCAGGAGAUUGAGGUUCGUAAGACUUGAGGUGAGGUAACAUGAAUACGUGAGUUGUGUUGGAUUGCAGGGGCAUUAUAGUAUGACGUACAGUAAAAAAGUGACUGAUGAGGUUGAUUAGGAUCUGUAAGGUUAAGGGUAGAAAGGGAAUCGUUGAAAUAAGAGUUAGAGAGGUGAGAGCUUGGUUGCGAUUGUAUAGGGUAGAGUGGGCUUAAGAGUUUAUGGAUGAUUUGGUAUGUUGGGUUAUAUCAUAGACUAAUAGAGGUCAGUGGUAGACUAAGGUUGGGAACCUUGUAUUCGUUGUGAAAAAUUGUCUAGACCCGCUACUAAUGAUGUUAUUACUCGGCUUGAAUGAUUGAAUAAAAAGGGAUUAUCGUGCAAGUGGUUAGAGGUAUUCAGAUUCGAUAGUUGAGUGAUUCUUCAAGGACUAGUAAUGUUAAGGAUUUAAGUUCGGGAUAACAUUUUCGAAUUUGAGUAAGGCAAAUUCGAGCAAGGACGCUUCAGUGAGAUACAUGAGGAUAUAAGUAAGACUGUUGUGUGAUACGUUGGAUUUAGAGAGUGUGCAAUUUCGAUUUGUAAACGUUAAGAAAACUCUAAUGCGCAGAGUGUGUGGUAUGAUCCUCUCCCGGAUUGAUUCGCCUAACUUGCAGAACUUAUGAUUAUGCGGUAUUUAAUUGAGUAGAUUCGGGAAUUGACUACGGUAUUAAUGAUCGUGAAUUGAUUGGAAAUUGAGAAAUGGAUGAGUAAAAAAAAAGAAUAGUUGAUUGUUAAUCAAUAAGAAAAAGGUACAUCCUGGGGAUUUCUUGGGUUAGUAUGGAUUGUGGUGUCGUUUUCUUGCAUAUUCUAGUUGAGAUGUGAUUGUUGCGUAAGCUUAAGAAGGAAGUAUACAGGAAUGGACUACGUGAUAUGACAGAGUUCCGUGAGGUUCGUGAUCAGCGACUAGUGAGGAGAAAAUUUCAGUGAACCGACAUAUUGAGGUUUAUAAGAAGUGACUUGGACCAUCGGAUAAGUUUCGUAACAUUCUACAAUGGAUGAGUUAGACAAACAUCCUUAAGAGAGAAGAUUGUGGAAUCCCUAUCAAGUGAGGACUGGAGUUAUAUUUUCGAGGUGAAACCUACUCGUGGUGAUAUUUUAUGUUGCAUGUAGUGUUGAUUGGACAGUUUGGGUAAGCGCUUUUGGUUAUUAAAGACUUGGAGGUGAUUGUGUGAGAUUUAGAGCGGCAGUGUAAGACUGGAUACUUUUGGAGAGUUUAUGAGAAUAUCGAGGUGAUACUAUGAGAGGUUCGAUAGUUGUAUAAUUACUAUAUGAGGCUUCAGGUUUCGCGUCGAAAGGUUUGGGGUUGUAUCAGAAUUGCGUAUCGGGUAAAGGUUGAGAAAUAUAAAGAUUGAAAUCGUAAGGUAUAGCUCUUCGGUACUAAGUUGAUAACUUGGAUAGGACUUAACUUGUGGAGUCGAAAGUGAUAGACAAGAUUUGUCAUGCGUGGUAUGGCUUUAAUUGAUUUCGAAAUUCGAAGUCGGUUCUAAUGACUAUCGAUGAUAUUCGAGAGUUAUGCAUUCAUUCAGGGUCAGCGUGGUUCGAGUUAAGCUUAAAGGUCUAUGAUUACACCUCCAGGAAGAUAUCUAAGGACUCGAAGUGUUUCGGCUCAUAUUUGGGGUAUGACAGAUUAACCAAGCUUUGUAAGGAUUUUCUAGUGGAUUUGAUGAUACUUUCUGAGAACAGUUAUUUGGGACAGAAUAAGAGUAUGCAAUGAGCCUAGUACAGAUUUGAGGAGGAACUGUAUGCGAGAGGUCUCUAUAGUGAUUAGUUAUUUGCUCGACGAGAUAUUCAGUGGUAUGGUUCCUGUAUUGUUAUUUGAAGGUUCAAAAAGAUUUGGAACUGGCCAAGUUGGCUCCCGGUAAGAUCAGUUUUGAUAGAAUUAUGUAGAGAUCGUAGAUGAAUCAAGGAUUCUUUCUGGAGAAAGUAAGUUAUGAGUUCAAAAUUUUGGUAUAUGUGUUCAUAUGUUUCUAAGAAAUUGCGCUGCGAGUAACGGCUUUAGAAGAUGUGGGAGAAGGAGUUAGCGGAAUCAGAGAAUUUUAUCGGUUCAGAAUGGGCUAUGGUUUGUGACCAGGUUUCAGAAGAUUGCGUUGGUUUGGGAAAGUGGUUGUGGAGCCUAUUGAUCGUAUUCAGGUAUUUCCUGCUCCUUUCGCUUCUUCGCUCGAGGACAAGCGAUGGUUCAAUUGGUAUCUGAUGUAAUGACUCGUUUGGUCAUUAUAGUCGUUUUGGUAUUUUUGCGCCUUUCCGAGCUUGGCUAGCUCAUUUUUGACCCGAAGGGACCGUUGACAUGCUUCUCAAGGUGUCUAGAUUUGAUUCGGGAUUUUUUUUUGAAAUUUGGGCUUUAAGCGAAAAAGAGUUGACUCAAAGUUGACUUUGGGUAAACAGACCUUUUUCAGAAAUUCGUCAAUUCUGAAAGGUCCAGAUGGUCAUUUAGGACUUGUGUAUGUAUUUGGUUCGGUUCCCAAUGAACCCGGGUGCAUUUUAGGACUUGGGUUGGGAAGUUGGAAAUCAGGUAUCGAGGGUUGACUCGGUCAAUGAGGCCUCUGUUGGAAAUUCUGAGGCCACGAGUGCGUUUAUAGCGUGUUUUUAUGUGGGUCUGUGUAUGUGGUUUGCGAGCAUAUGGCCUCCGGAGUGGCUCGGGAUUUCGGUUGCGACUUAAAAAAUUUAUUGGGAAUCUGGUACCUGGUGUCCGCCAGUGCGACGCUAGUGCCGUACCAGCGGCACCGCUGUUGCGGUGGGAUGGCCGUUGGAGAGGCCAAGUGUUUUCUGCCCAGACUGGCCGGACGGUCUAGAAAGGCAUCGGGACGGUGGAGUCGUGGCGGCCCCGAUGCCGUCGUGGCGGUAUCGGGCCUAUUAUUUCAUUAAGUGUGUAUUAAAUAAGCCCUUAGUCUAUCAUUAUUCCCAUUACUAGAAUUGAGCUCUUGGGAAUUGUUUUAGAAGGAUCUUGGAGAAAACUCUUGGUAGUAAGUCUUGCUAACCUCUUUACUAAUUCCUUGUUCCUAAUCAUCAUAGAAUUUCUCUUUCCUUGUUAGUCUCUUAGUAAUGGAAGAUUUAAGGUGGGUUUUGAUGGAGUUUUUAUCUAGGCUUAUUAAUGAUGGAAUUGAGUGAGUUUAUGCUAGAUUAUGAUGUAUCUAAGGUUAUUAAUCGUAUAUCUUCCAUUUUUAGUUUUGAAUCCUUGAAUCUAAAAGUUAGGGUUUAUAUCAAAAUUGGGGGUUUUACUUGAAUUUCGAAAUUGGGUGAAUCUUUGAGUUAAUUUAGCAAUUAGUUGAUGGGUUUUGAUCACCUAGUGUUUAAUUUGAUAUUUUACCCUCGAGUUUCUCGUUUUGCCCUUGUGGGGCUCGUUUUUCCAAAUUCUAGGGUUGGUUUCGACCUAAAUUGAAUGAUAGUAAUAUUAGUAUCGAUCUUCAUGAUUUCUAAUCUAGGA